rnacentral:rRNA from 1 species
UACGAGGGGGGCGAGCGUUGUUCGGAAUUAUUGGGCGUAAAGGGCGCGUAGGCGGUCGGAUAAGUCUUGUGUGAAAUCUUCGGGCCCAACUCGAAGUCUGCACAGGAAACUAUCUGGCUUGAGUGUGGGAGAGGUGAGUGGAAUUCCUGGUGUAGCGGUGAAAUGCGUAGAUAUCAGGAGGAACACCUGUGGCGAAAGCGGCUCACUGGACCACAACUGACGCUGAGGCGCGAAAGCUAGGGGAGCAAACAGG